rnacentral:rRNA from 1 species
UAACAAGGAUUCCCCUAGUAACUGCGAGUGAAGCGGGAAAAGCUCAAAUUUAAAAUCUGGCGGUCUUUCGGCCGUCCGAGUUGUAAUCUGGAGAAGUGCUUUCCGUGCUGGACCGUGUACAAGUCUCUUGGAACAGAGCGUCGUAGAGGGUGAGAAUCCCGUCUUUGACACGGACUACCAGUGCUUUGUGAUGCGCUCUCGAAGAGUCGAGUUGUUUGGGAAUGCAGCUCAAAAUGGGUGGUAAAUUCCAUCUAAAGCUAAAUAUUGGCGAGAGACCGAUAGCGAACAAGUACCGUGAGGGAAAGAUGAAAAGAACUUUGGAAAGAGAGUUAAACAGUACGUGAAAUUGCUGAAAGGGAAACGCUUGAAGUCAGUCGCAUCGUCCGGAACUCAGCCUGGCUUUUGCUUGGUGUAUUUUCUGGUUGAUGGGUCAGCAUCAGUUUUGAUUGUCGGAAAAUGGCUAGGGGAAUGUGGCAUCUUCGGGUGUGUUAUAGCCCUUAGUCGCAUGCGAUGAUUGGGACUGAGGAUCUCAGCGCGCCUUUAUGGUCGGGGUUCGCCCACGUUUGCGCUUAGGAUGCUGGCAUAAUGGCUUUAAACGAC